CCUACGGGAGGCAGCAGUGAGGAAUAUUGGUCAAUGGGCGAGAGCCUGAACCAGCCAAGUCGCGUGAAGGAAGAAGGUCUUAUGGAUUGUAAACUUCUUUUAUAGGGGAAUAAAGAUGAGUACGCGUACUCAGUUGUAGGUACCCUAAGAAUAAGGAUCGGCUAACUCCGUGCCAGCAGCCGCGGUAAUACGGAGGAUCCGAGCGUUAUCCGGAUUUAUUGGGUUUAAAGGGUGCGUAGGCGGGUUGAUAAGUCAGUGGUGAAAGGUUUGCGCUCAACGUAGACAUUGCCAUUGAAACUGUCAGUCUUGAGUACAAAUGAGGUAGGCGGAAUGUGUUGUGUAGCGGUGAAAUGCAUAGAUAUGACACAGAACACCAAUUGCGAAGGCAGCUUACUGGGAUGUAACUGACGCUGAGGCACGAAAGCGUGGGGAUCAAACAGGAUUAGAUACCCUGGUAGUCCACGCAGUAAACGAUGAUUACUAGCUGUUAGCGAUAGAAUGUUAGUGGCUAAGCGAAAGCGAUAAGUAAUCCACCUGGGGAGUACGACCGCAAGGUUGAAACUCAAAAGCUGAAUUGACGGA
rnacentral:rRNA from 1 species